ACUUUCACAGUUCACCAUAGGCUACAUCAUGAUCAUCAUCUUAAGGUCACGGUUUACUGCGUGCUUUUAAUAAACCAAAGCAGAUAACCCAGCUGCUAUUAGAGCUCUCUGUUGGGAGCCAGUGGCAUUUUUCAUUUGAACAGCUGAUCCACACAAUGCUGUGAGCCCAUAUGGAGGUGACAGCUUCUUCUCCAGCAGUCGUUCCUCUGCCUGCUUUUGGGAAGAUUUGUCGACGGUGUUAGCGCCCAGCAGCAGCAGGAACCGGUCUGCUGUCCUAGCUACCUGUGGAGCAGAACAGGUGACAGACAGCGGAGCCUGGUGUGUGUGUGUGUGCGCAACGGACGGACACUCACCAACUGAUUUCAGUGCGCUUCGCCGAAGGAAAGAAACCACGGAGUCCGAAGUUGGAACUAGCCGCCAGCCACCAUCUUCUGCAUGGACGGAGAAGAGUAGCCUAAGCGCGGAGUGUCAGCGGUUCGGUCCGGUAGGCUACGACACACAUUACACUGCCUCAUUACAGCUGACGCCGUUGGACCCGCGGCAUAGUGGACUGCGCCGCGCUGUUACCACGGACAGCCGAGCACCGUGCGCGCGCCCAGUCCCAGCAGCAGCAACAGGGGAGGGGCGUCAACGUGCGCGCACUUAGCCCGGAGGAUACAGGAAAAGACGGGACUUGGCCUUUCAAAGUAAAAUCAGAGCAGCUGUCGAGAAAGAGAAGAGGGAAACAACUGUUUAAAUUAUGUCCGUGAGGAAAAGUGGAACAAAAUACACAGAGUUUUUUUUUGGGUGGGAGGAUAUGCACAAAAAUAAAAUAUGAAUACAUUAAAAAGGGAGCAUUAUAAUCAUCCAAAGACAGAUUAGAAACAUGGAAAGUCGAUAUUGGAGAAAAUAUACGUACCUGAAGAAGAAUGGGAAGUGGCAUGCUUAAAGGCACAGCAAAAUGCAAUUAAUACAAGAUUGAAAUUGCUCCAAUAUAAAUGGCUAAUGCGAACUUAUAUCACCCCAGUAAAGCUGAAUAAAAUCUAUCCUAAUAUUCCAGAUAUUUGUUGUAAGUGUUUAGAGGAAAAGGGGACACUGUUCCACUGUGUUUGGGAAUGCUCCAAAGUACAACUAUUUUGGCAGAGUGUGAUGGGGGCAUUUCCCAGAUAGUAGCUAAGAAUGUUCCCCUGCAAGCAGAACUUUGUAUCCUGGGUAUAUACUCUGAAAAUGUGGUUAUCAAUUCUAAACAAUCAGUGUUGAUUGAUUUUGGGCUUCUUCAAGCUAGAAGACUGAUCGCUCUUUUCUGGAAAAAAUAUACAGUUGCCCUCUGUAAAGUUGUGGUUGAAGGAGAUUGCAACAUACCUUGCACUGGAAAGACUUCCAUAUAUUGUUAGAAGGUAAAGAAAACAGUUUGUUAAAGUGUGGAAACCUUUUUUGGAAUUUUUGGAGGAUGAGAAUGUCGCACUAACUUAAAGAUCACCAUUACUGCUGCUUUUUCAGUUAUUUCUUCUUCUUAUUUUUUUUAUUACUUAUUGUUUUAUUUGUACAAUGAUUUAAUUUGUUUUGCAUCUUUUGAUUGUUUUGUUGUAUUGCACACUUAAUACAUUAUUUGUGUGGUCAUUGUUAUCUGUAUGUUUUCUAAAUGUGAAAAACUUAAAGUAUUGUUUAAAAAAAAAAAGGGGGAGCAUUAUACCACAUAUAACAUUUAUAGAAAAAACGUCUAAUGCAUCUGUCAGUGAUGACAGUGUUUUGCUUAGAGACCUAUAGCCUAUUACACAAUAUAUUGAUUUCAAAAUAAAUUGGCUUAGGCCUACUAACGCCCAAUAUAAUUAUAGGACUAGUACUAUCCUGCUCAAAAAGUCUAAAAGAUGGCUUUCUGUCUGGCCUGAAGCUCUCAUUGUGUAGUGUUACGUUUUCUGAUUUUUCAGCAGAAAUAAUGUUAACCAUAAUACAGUUUAUUGCUUCAAGAAUACCAUUUUACCUGUUUUAGUCUCUCUAAUUCGGUUACUCAAAAUAGAUAAUACAUUUUUGUAGCCUAUUGAAUUUUGGGCUUAUUUUGUAUUAUUUAUAUUAUUAUAAUUAAAAGUAGGCAUAAUAGUAGUAGUAGUAGAACUAGUUGUAAUAGUAAUGACGAUGCAAUAAAUGUUUUUAAAUUGA